AAUCAACGCUGGCGGCGUGCCUAACACAUGCAAGUCGCACGAGAAAGUGGAGCAAUCCAUGAGUACAGUGGCGCACGGGUGAGUAACACGUGAAUAAUCUACCUCCGAGUGGGGAAUAACCUAGAGAAAUCUGGGCUAAUACCGCAUAACACUUACGAGUCAAAGCAGCAAUGCGCUUGGAGAGGAGUUCGCGGCCGAUUAGCUAGUUGGCGGGGAAUGGCCCACCAAGGCGAUGAUCGGUAUCCGGCCUGAGAGGGCGCACGGACACACUGGAACUGAAACACGGUCCAGACUCCUACGGGAGGCAGCAGUGGGGAAUAUUGGACAAUGGGCGCAAGCCUGAUCCAGCCAUGCCGCGUGAGUGAUGAAGGCCUUAGGGUUGUAAACCCCUGUUGCCCGGGACGAAUGUGCACUUUAGAGUGCAUUGACGGGUACCGGGUGAGGAAGCACCGGCUAACUCCGUGCC
rnacentral:rRNA from 1 species